GCCUGGAGCUCAACUCCAGAAUUGCCUUUAAGACUGCAUCGCUUGAACGUCGGAGAGGUGUGUGGAACUCCGAGUGUAGAGGUGAAAUUCGUAGAUAUUCGGAAGAACACCAGUGGCGAAGGCGACACACUGGCUCAUUACUGACGCUGAGGCUCGAAAGCGUGGGGAGCAAACAGGAUUAGAUACCCGGGUAGUCCACGCCGUAAACGAUGAUUGCUAGUUGUCGGGAUGCAUGCAUUUCGGUGACGCAGCUAACGCAUUAAGCAAUCCGCCUGGGGA
rnacentral:rRNA from 1 species